rnacentral:misc_RNA from 1 species
GGAGAACGUGCGGCAGCCGGCGCACCAUCUCCCUUCAUGAAACGGACACAGCAGAUGAGGAGGAAUGGAAACAAGAUGGAAGUACAGGGAAGAGGAACCGAAGGGCUGUGGUGCACCGGCGCACCUCCCCUCAUGGUCAGAACUCGAAUGUGAAUGAACCGAGACUUGGAGCUCGAGAAACCAUGGAACCAGUCCCAGAGAAAAU